GCUGGGCACAGUGGUGCACACCUGUAAUCCCAGCAGCUUGGGAGGCUGAGGCAGGAGGAACACAAGUUCAAAGCCAGCCUCAGCAAAGGUGAGGUGCUAAGCCACUCAGUGAGACCCUGCCUCUA
rnacentral:sRNA from 1 species